rnacentral:tRNA from 1 species
GGCCCCAUCGUCUAGCCCGGUUAGGACAUCGGAUUCUCGAUCCGGUAACAGGGGUUCGAAUCCCCUUGGGGCUA